GGGAAGUGUGUCUGGGCCGCAGAGGGGACUGUGUGGCGGGAGGCCCGGCCGCGGCGGGAUGGCAGAGCGGACGGCGGAGCGGAUGGAGCGGGCGGCGCGGUGCACAGCGCCGUGCGGGGCCGCGAGCCGGGCCUGCUUGGUUAGCGCGGGCAGCGGGCGGCCUCGGGGGCCCCGCGGUGGGCGAGCUGCGCCGGGCGGUCCCGGGCGCGUCUGGCCGGCGGGGCGGAGGGACCAUCCCGCGGGCUCCUGGCCCGGCCGGCGGCUUGGGGACCGGACUGGGGUCACUCCCGGCCGGGACCCGUGGGCCCGUGUCCGGUCCUGACUCGGAGGCCGUGACUGCAGCACCGAGCGAGCGGCUGGUUCUCAGGAAACACGGUGCGCGAUGGCGGCAGAGUGUGGACAGGGCACCUGCUUGUGCUUUGCUUUUUUUAGGGAGGGGGUGGGGAGAAAGAAAAAGAGAGAGAAAGCGGGCAAUAUUGAGAGAGAAUCAUGAAUUGGCUGCCUCCACACUGCUGAUCGAGCCCACAACCCGGGCCUGUGCCCUGACCGGGAUUCGAGCCGUGACCUCCUGGUUAACAGGUGGAUGCUCAACCAUUGAGCAGCACCGGCCGGGCCUAGGUAAACACUUGCUGAAUGUAUGAAUGAAUACCAGCUUGGAGAGAAAUGACAGGGAAGUUCUGAUGGGCCUCGUGCCUUUCAUUCCUGUCAUUCCUCCCGUGGGCUUUCCUCUGUCACAGGAUAUAAAAUCCCUGUCAUCGAGAAUCUGUGUGCCACCUUAGACCAGCUGGAUGUCCUUGGUUUUCUGAGAAUGAAAUCUGGAAACUGGACGGCUUCCCCCUGCUGAGGAGACUGAAGACCCUCCUGUUGAACAACAGGACAUGGUGUCUGCCGGGCCGGCGAUCUGGUUCCCGGUGUAAUGAGGAAACUUCUCUCGCAGCCCCGUCAUCGAGGCGCUGGACCAGGCUCUGCCCUGCCUCAGGAGCUCGUCCUCAUCAUGGUGAGCCCCGGGGUCGGGUGUCCAGGUGGCGGGAGGCUCCACAUCCUGCAGAAGUUGGGGAGGUCCGGGCAGUGCCUCCCGCUCUCUCGUCCCCCCAUCCCUCUCCUCCACCUUCGUCUGACUCUGGGAAGCAGCCCGUGAUGGGUCCCAUCCACCUGGCAUCUGUCUCCCAAGGAGAUGGCCCGUCUCUGCAUUUGGUGUGGCUGCUGGGGGUCUGAGUUCAUGUAAUUUUCCUGGAACUGACGUGUCUCACUCCUGUAAGUCUUCCCUCCUCACUGCUCCCCCUCCUGUGCCUCCAGCUCUCCCAGGAACAGCUUAGAAGAUGAUUGUUAAGCAGGUGGGCUCUGUCCUUGGCACUGUAGGCGGCAAACAUAGGCAUCAUCCCCGUUGUUCCUGCUGCUGUUGGCACUGGUACGACGCCCCAACCCCCGCCUCCCCUUCUGGCUGUCACCACCGCUGUCUGUCCACAUCUGUCUACAUUUAAAGAUGACCAGUGUCACCUCUACCCGCCUAGACAAAGAGGUCCUGAGCCAUUGCGGCCCACACACCAUCUCGCUGUGUGUUUAACGGGCUUUUUAAGGCAGCACCUCUGAGGGUACAGAAGCUGUCAUGGCCAAGGCGGGAAGGUGCAGAAGCUCAAGGAUAUCAUCCUGCUUGUUCGCUAGAAGCCGAUCAGGAGCCGGAGCGGGAGGACAGGACCAGGGGGGCCUCGCUACGAUGCAGCUGCAGUGCGAAGUGUCUCACAGGGGGUCUGCUCUCCUCCCACAGGGUGACCUGGACCCGCCUGUGUCGCUCAGUUCACUUAUCUCCCUGACCCAGGGACAGCGAGUCCUUUACAACAACUCCCUGCCAGGCCUUGACCUCAUCAGCCAUUGAGGACAAAGGGACGCUUAAUGGAACUGGAACUGGAAAAGCCUUGCUGGGGCAGCUGAAUUCCCGACUGAGCUGGGCACCUACUCAGAGCUGAUCCGAUGCGGCCAAUGCCACCCCACCCGCAGGACCUCCAUCCCUGGUGCGGAGGAGCAGAAGGCAGCCGAUUCUCACCGUGGAUGUGUAUCCCCGUCGCUGAAAUCAAUAAAAAUAUGUUGUUUUUCUUUCACAAAGAAACACACUGGCGGCUGUGUCAGCUUGCAGGGCUUCGGGUGGGGACGGCCUGUCAGGUGAGGUGGCAGUGGCAGGAGGAAAGAUCCCAGGUUUGAUUCCAGUCAAGGGCACAUACUUGGGUUUCAGCCAAAUACCCAGUAGGGGCUGUGCAACAGGCUGCU